rnacentral:rRNA from 1 species
UGGCUGUCGUCAGCUCGUGUCGUGAGAUGUUGGGUUAAGUCCCGCAACGAGCGCAACCCUUGCCUUUAGUUGCCAGCAGUUCGGCUGGGCACUCUAAAGGGACUGCCGGUGUUAAACCGGAGGAAGGUGGGGAUGACGUCAAGUCCUCAUGGCCUUUAUGACCAGGGCUACACACGUACUACAAUGGCCGAUACAAAGGGCAGCGACACUGCGAGGUGAAGCCAAUCCCGUAAAAUCGGUCUCAGUCCGGAUUGGAGUCUGCAACUCGACUCCAUGAAGUUGGAAUCGCUAGUAAUCGUGGAUCAGCAUGUCACGGUGAAUACGUUCCCGGGCCUU